AGUAGAGGUGCUGGUCAAAUGAAAGGUAAUCACAAUACUUGUGUUUAUGGAAAACUUGAGCACCAGCAGCAAGAUACAAACCCUUGAUAGUAGUUUUCAGGCAUGAAUUCAAGCUAGGUGUUACAGACUGCACACAUGGUCCCAGUGGAGAAAAACCUUCCAUAAAAAUCUGUUCCUCAAGACAGUAAAAAAAAAAAAAAAAAAUCUGUUAAUUCCCCAUUCCAGCAGAAUGUGAAUAUCAUGUCAGCUUCCUGGACCUGCAUGCCAGAUGUGAGCAUGUCACAACUGCUCUGUAUCCUGUUUGAUGUUGCCUGUCAGAAAUGAAAACCUGUCAAGUCCUCCUUUGGGCAGGUAUGUGUGAGUGUGUGCAGCGUGUGCAUGCACACAUAUGGAAACUUUUGCUGGACACAUGCACACAUUGAGUUUUAAGUCUACCAGAAAUGUUUCCAGGGCAGAAAGAAAGCAAGCCAUUUUCACUUGAAACACUUGCCUUCAUGUGUUAUUGAAUUAAAUGUAAUUUUGUGAAUGUUUCAUGGUCAGAAUCUCAUAUCAGUGGUUUUCUUUCCCCCAGAUAUGUUAGUAAGAUUCCACAUAGUACAGAAAAUGAUUUUGCAACACUUAAACAGUCUGUUGAGAUGAUUUUUCCUGUUGACUUCAGUUAAAUUUAGAUUGCAAUUUCCUUUCUAGAAGAUGAAUUUACCUUUGUCAUUGAGAAUGAAUUUGGGCUUAUCAAUGCUUCUAUACAUCAGGGCUCCAACACCUUUGAAGAGGCUACAACAAGUUCCCUAAAUUCAGUGCUUAUUGAAUAAGUGCAUUUGUUCCUAAGGAAAGGACACUGAAAGAAAAAAAAAUGAAAGAAAAGAAAAUAGGGCAGCAAUGUGGAAAGGAUAUCCACAAGUCAUGGCCAGGUCUCAGGAAUUUACACUGUUACCUGCUGUGGGAAAUUAAAAACAUGGGAUGGCAGCAUGUGCUUGCCUCUCUGUAGCCACACUUACAAAUGUGUAAAAGUGAUUUGCUUGCAAGAAGUGCAUGAUUAAAGUAGAAUAUCCCAGGGCUUUUAAAAAUAAUUUUAGGCUGGGAUUUUCAUGGAUCAAGAGAAAUAGACAAGUGCACUCUAGAUUUUGUAAUUCUGGUAGGGUAAAUUUAAAAACAAAAGAAAGAAAUUACAACAUUUUUGCUUUUGUGAAAAGAUCAUUCAAUAUAGCCGCACAUUAGUUGUGUGAAACGUUCAUACUAAAUUCACAAUAUUUUAAGGUUAGAAGACGCGACUUGCUAGUGCAAAAUACAUUGCUAAUCAGUUUGUCCUUGGCAUAAUUCAUGUAUCAGUUGUGGAUGCUAUACCACACAGGUAACCUCUCAGAAAUCAUGGCUUUACUAAUCUAUGUGUAUAAUUACAGCCUUUGUCUCCUCUGACAGGCAUUAUGUUGUCAGGCCAGGCAGCAGCUUGCUGAUGAACUCAUAAAAGAGCAACAAUAUGUAGUCUCAGACAGCUAUAAGAUCCAGCCCCACCAUGGAUUGCCAAGAUUAUUUAAUAGACUGUUAAACACAUUUUAAAUUCUAGCUACAAUUGUGAUUUAAAAUUUAUUUUACAAAUAUGUUUUUGUUACUAGUCUUUCAACUAAAAACUUCAAUUUUUUUUCAUCAAGGAAAGAACCAGCACUUCCAUCUAGAGUUCCUGGAGAAGGGUGUACCAAGGAGCACACCCUGUGUACUCUGCCUCCAUCAGGGCAGUGAAGCUACAUGAUACCCAAAAUACUGUCAGGAAAUGGAGGGGCUGGGCCCUGAGACCUGGUCGGGAGCAAAGGACUGGAGGCAGAAUACCUGAAAGUGCUGACUUUUCAGUAGGAUUUCCCCCAGGCAAUCAUCCACCUUACUGGGAGCAAAUAGCUAAGAGACAUGCUUAAAGUCCAGGCAAGAACUGAAAUAUCACACCUGGUUCUAAUUUCUUCAUAAAGAAUAAAAUAUACUCUCUGGUCUAAACUAAACAUACACAUAAAUAUACCAGUAAAAGCAGAUGGUUAAAGUGGGUGUAAUCUCCUUAAUACAAAUGAGAGCUACCAUUCUCUGUGCAAAGCCAAACAUCCCUGCCAUGCUGCAGUUAUGUAAGGUUUACCUCAUGGUUGGUGGGGGAUGAGGGGGAGAGCAUGAUAGCAGGACAGCUAUCCAUGAAAAAAAUGAAACAUUUUAACUGUGUCAAAUAGAUCAUAGCCCAAUACUACAGAAUGGAGUAUGCCAAACUAGCUAUCAGAAUAGUACAAAAGUCAGAGAAACAGUACUAUACUUCACAAUGACACAGAGGUCAUGAAGCUCAUUUGCUUUAAAUAAUAAGAUGUAUUUCUGAAUAACACCCUUUUAGCUGCCCACUGUGCCUAUGCUGACUCAGAUCAGUGAUCAUGAACCUAUUUUCCCAGGAGGUAACUUUUCAGUAAGUCACUUCUGUGUGAAAUGUCACUUGUAAAUGAGGAAGGAAAUCUAUUUAGCCAUACAUUUGAUGGGAGAUAAAUUGCUGGGGGUGUUAUUUUUGUAGUUGCUCUCUCUACACAGCCCAGGUAGGAGACAAAGCAGGACAUAUCUCUUAUAGACUCAGUGCAAUAAAGUGUAAAUAAUUAAAAGCUUUUUGGUAUUAUCCUGCCUUCUUUUAAAACAUGUCUUCAAUAAUUCAAUUUUUUUUUCUUGGAAGUGUUUUGUUACACAUCUUCAGUAACUUCCACAGUUUUCUUGGUUAACUUUGGGAUAGCAUGAUUUACUCUAUACAUGCAUGUUCAUUGCUGUGUUACUGUUUGUAUGCUGGGGGAAUUUUAAUUUUCGUCUCCCAUACUCAUAAUUUUCCACAUCACAUGUGAAUCAUCACAUCUUCUGCCUCUAUUAGCCACUGUUAGCAACAGUAGGUAACACAAUCACGGUGUUCACUCUUUUAAGUAGGAUUAAGACUCAAGGCCUGCAGUUUCUUCCUUCUUUUUACAGUGUGUCCUUGCUGUCCCUGGAGAAUUCAGCCUGUCCCUCUGGGUGCCACAGAGCGCUUCUCUGAUUCUCAGGAAACUGAAUAUAGACUGCUCCUCACUCAGAAGGUGUCAAACAUGUCAGAAAGAGGUGGAUGACUUGUGAAGUGCUGUGCACUCUCUUCAGAUUAGGGUGAUUUAGCAAUGCUAAGGGCAGUUGUCUACUGACCUGAAAGGCAUCGAACACCAAGACUGUAAGGAGAUCUUCAGGUCUGCCAAUACCUGCAAACUCAUCACUGUUGUCUAACAGAAAUAAAACUUGUUUUUACAUUGCUAAGGGUCUCUAGGCUUUAAAAGCAAAACCAAGGAUUUUGCUUGCACAUCAUGCAGCUCAGAAUGAAAAUACAAAAAUACCAACCCCCAAACUAACCAAGAACACACAAACAGCCGAAGAUAUACUGUUCAUUGUACUUAUAAAGGAUAUGUUUGAUAAACAGUUUCCACAUGUAGAAUCCAAAUUACAGUCAAGACUGCAGAUGUGGCAAAACAGGACACUUGUCUUCGCUGGGUGCUCCCCAGAGGAUCUGGAUGUGUACUGUGGAAAGCUGCACUUGUCCUCUCCUUCCAGAUGACUUCCAAUGUGACCUUGGGCAAGUAACUCGUCCGUGCCUCAGGUAGUUUGCCAUAAAAUUGUGCUCUCAUUCUGCAUCUUUGACUGGCCUUGUUUAUUUACACAGUAUACUAGUCAGAAUAGAUGCUGUUACUCACUCUGUGUUUGUACAACAGAUAGCAAACAGAGACCCUGACCUUAGCAGGAGCUCACAGGUGACCCACCGUGUUGUGAGAGAUGUCAGGAUGUCAGAAACAAAAAUAAUGCUAAUCUUUCUCUUGUCUCAGCCUCUAUGUUAAAGAAUUUGAAACAGUAUACAAAACAGUUCAACAAGACUUUGGAUAUGCACGGAUGACAUGUUUUUCUCUAUGACUUUCUAAAUUUAUGUCUAACAUGGAGAAUGGAAGACAGUGGACUUGGCUUCUCCAGCAUAUGGGUAUUUGUUACACUCAAUUCUUCUGCUUCAACAGCAGAUUCAUUUUGGCAUGAUUCCUCAAUUACAUGACUUGUCUCAGUUCAAAGAGAUAUAAAUCACUAGUACUUCAGGUGCCUGUGCUAAAUUUAGAGAGGAUAUUCAAUAAUUAAAUUCAAUAAUGUAGUGUCGUUUUCUUGUCAAAGGCAGAAAAAAAAUCCCCAAGUAGAACAGAAUACUGCCAAGCUUGUGUUUGUUAAUUCACCUAAGGAUGGAGGCAGUGAGUGGCUUCUGGCAGAGGACAUCAGUGGGAUCGCUGGUGCCAAAGCAGUUUGCAGCUCCAGAGAAACAAGUCCCACCACUACAUAAGGAAUGCUUACAUGUAGACACACAUAAAUCGCUUAAUUUUGGAACUUUUAUUAAAGUGGCCACAGCACUGUGUUUCUUAGCAUAGAUAGCAAAAUCCUUUCUCAAUUGCAGAGUCUGCAGAGUCCUGCAGAGAGCAUGAGCAUGUCCCUAGCUAAGUGCUGUUCCCCUUUUCUGUAAGAGAUGCUUAAUCUCACCAGGCCAGAGUAUGCUUUGCUCUCUAGACUAACAUUUGCCCCCACACCUCUGAGAGCAUGAAACAAACCUUGAGAUGCAUCCACUCUUGUUUCUUCUAUAAAUUCUAGCAAUUCUUUUUCCUAAGGGUAAUUUUUUCAAUACUUGUAAAUUUACCCUUUAUUAAGGGUAAAUUCUUAUUACUAGAAGGAGUUGUUCCUUCAGAGCAUCCCUAGGUCAGUCUCAAAGUUACAACAGGCCAUGCCAGACUCAUCAAGGAAGGCAAAGCUUUUAACUUUCCUCUGUAUCAAAAUAGUGGUACCCUGCCCUGUAGCAGGGCCACACAGCAGAAGCAGGGAGAGACACAGGGGUGCUCAGGAACCAGCUUUGCACUAAGGGAAAUAAGGAUUAACUUUGCCCGCCUGCCAUAGAAGCAGCAAGGAAAUGCUGGAAAGGCUGUAAAGCAAAGAACAAGAGGAGGUGGGCCCGAUCUCGUCAAUAUAAACAAUAGCUUUAGAAAUGUAUUUGAAACAGUAUAACUAGGUUCACUGCAGUGGGUAGUUGAAAUGUCCAUGUUGUAGGUUUUGUGACAUGCAACCUCAUACAUGCAAAGCAGAUCAGUUGGAGAUGCUGAGGAUUUUCACCAGAGAUCAUCUGCCAGUGGUGUUUACCAUGCACUUUCUGCAGUCUGCUGUUCCUUCUCUCUCUGAUCUGCAGUAGAGAGUUGAGCUUUGCUGUUAUGAUGAAAAUUCCUCUCCCUUUUGGGAUAAUGAUCAAAACCCCACCCAAAUUUACCAGAUACAUCCACCCAUCCCAUGCAGACCAGCUCUGUGCAGAAAACAUGUUUGCUCUGUUUGUGAAUGAAACCAGGCAGAGGCAGGGAAGACAGGAUGAAACCCAUUCCUCUCUUCUGGCACGGUGCCCUCCUUCCAUUGCUCUGCUGUCCCUGAAGCUGACAGGAGAACUCCACUGGAGCUCCUGCUCCUACUGUGGGCUUAUCUUGCCUCAGGGAAACCACUUCUCCCUGAGCCAAGCACCGUGCUCUUUAGCACAGCCAUCCUUUCAGUGCCAGUCAGUGCGCAGCCUGCUCUAUGCCCAUGACCAUACCUCUCCGCCCAGAUGCUCAGCCUCGCUUAGCUUUUGCUUCACUGGACUUUGAAUAUUGUAAUACCAGGCUUCCCAGCAACAUCUGGAUGUGCAAUGUUUGCUACCAGCUGUACUUUAUACAGUGUGAUGACGUGAAGAAGAGAUUUUAAAAUCACUGAGGUCUGUCCUGGAGGGCAAACUUCACCUUUACAAGUGGCCACUUACAGAGCAGGGUCCCAUGUCAAAGAAAAAUCAUAGAAUGUUAUUUUUCAAAAAAAAUUCAUGGGAACAAAAAUACAAGGGAAACACAGAAAUACUAAAGCAUGUCACUGUGGGUUCAACUCCUGCCGACAUAAGACAUCAAGAAUAUCAGGAGGAAACCCCAGGAAAGGCAGUGCAGGCAGCAGGGCUGCAGACAGCCUUGCUAGGGGUCAUAGGCUGCCCCCACCCCUGUUAUUUUUCCCCACAGGCAUCUGACUCCUUUGGCAGCAAGAGGAGGAAACAGCCCCAGGCCCAGGCAGGCAUCCAGGGAGCCCUGUCUGUUUGCAGCCAGAGGCAAAGGCUCAUGCAAUUAUUGUGUGAAGCUGAAAGACAGUUAUUCUGCUGUCUUCAUUUUUAAAGACAAGGAAAGCAUGGGUCUACAAGCUGAACACUGCUGUACCAUGUUGACAGCAUUUCUUGUCGAUGACCUCAGUAUUUGCUCAUUCUGACAUCACUGUCAGGAGCAAUAUAAUUCAGGCUGGUGUCCUGUGAAAUGCUCCCUGGGCAGAUUUACAAGAGAAUAAGGGCAUGUGCCCUUCUGGACAGCAAGCCAUUAUGUUCUUACCUUUCAAAAUGAGACUGUGAAUAGUGAUGAGGGAAGUUUGGAACAUUCCCUCUCAUCCACUGCUGAUCAUUUCCAUUGCAUUUAGAAAUGAGGCCUUAAACCCUGAGGCCUUCACAACAUUUUCAGCAGACUUUUGAGGAAGAAAAGUAUAUUCUUUUGAGGAAGAAAAAUAUAUUCUAGUAUAGAGGUAUUCAAAGAAUUUCAGAGCAAUAUCCAUCUUCUGCAGAAUUAAAAGUUCUAUGUUUAUCAUAACAUUUUUCUGUGCAAAAGAUAUAUUGGUUGAAAAAGAAGGCAGAAAUUGCUUCAUAAAAGUCAAUAAUUGUUGUUUUUUUUUCUGAAAUGAAAGGUUUGGCCUGAACUCUGGAUCUCCCUUUAAAUCCCAGGAAUAUCUUUGUUGUCUUACAUAAGUCCCUUCUCCUCAGAGAAAUUUUCAUCCUUGUAUGAUUGAAAGUAAUAUUAUCUAAGAAAUGAGCUCAUGAGAAGCCAGACUGAACUGAUCCGUACAGUACAACAAACAUAUUGCCUGUACAUGAGUGCUAAUUAGCAUAUCAGCAUACAUGCUAUUCCUAGGAACUGCCCCUCUUUUUGUUAUCAAGCACUGAACCCAGUUCAGUACUGUACCUGUGCUUCAGACAACGUGAGAUCAUGAAUUGGAUUUUGAUGACAUUCAACUGAAAAAUCAGGCAGUCUAGGUCCUGAGGAUGCAUCCUAGCUAAGGAUGCCAUACCAAUUUAUGUUGGUGCUAAGUUACAGUUAUGUUCCUUCACUGUGAGCAAAAGGCAGAUACCAUAAACCACAUGUAGAAGUCAAUGAGGAGAGGAGCCUAAAUUGUGUCAGAGCAUCUCAUCUGUUGCAAUUAUUUGACAUCACUCUGCAGCAAGAAAGGGCGAGUAAUUGAGGCAAAGAUCUCUCCAACCACUACUCUCCAGCUUAGGGAUACAUGCCAAGUUGUGACUCGAUUACAUUCUUUUCCUAUUUAUUGAUCCUUCCUCAGGACAUCUUUUCUCCACAGUUACCACCACCAAAAAUGUACAAGCAAGUAAAGCGUACAGACAGUGUCCUAGCUGACUAUCUCAAAGGUGUAACAAAUGCAUGACUGCCAUUCAACUAGAUGCCAUUCAUCCAGAUGACUGGAUAUGAUAUUAAGGAUGAGAAAGGCAUGGAAUUCCAAAAUUUCUGUGAUCUUUAAUCUUAUUUUCAAGCUUCCAAAGACUUACAACACUCUAUCAAGUUACUUACAAUCCCCUUCUAAGUGGAAAAACUUUUUGUGGUUAGGCACAGCAUGUGAUCUGCAACAUGAUUUCUUCAAACAGGAGCCGAGUUGAGUUAUUCUAUACUGCUGUUGUUAUUGCAAAAUGAAACAAGACAAUUAUCAUUCAGGUUAUAGUGGUUUCAGAACUGUAAAAUUAUUAUCUACGUAUGUAGCUCAGUGGAGGAACUUUAUUAGGGAGCUCUAUCCACAUACAUGUUCUGCCUAAAGGGUUGUGUUCAAAAAGAAAUUUUGCUUAUACAUCUCUGCAGCAUGUACUCAGAAAUCAUUUGCUACUCAGUAUAACUAUAAAAAAAGCCCAUGUAAAAAUUCAAAGGUGAAAAUUCUUGAAAAUUAUCAGCUAAAGCACCUGAUAUAUUUUCCUGGUGCUGUAUUUUUUUUGCCAUGCUUGCUAUACCCCAGCAGUACUGCAGCACUGUUAAAAGGCAAGAGCUAUAGUUUUCCUGUGCUUCUUUUUUAUUGACUGUGGUGGGAAUGAAGUGGGGUCUUAGAUUUCACCAUGGGGCUUAGGGGCACGUGACACAUUUGCUUUGCAUAGGUUCCCAGUGGGAGCUUAGGGAAUAAGAGCAAACCUUAUUCUCUGCCUCCCUUCACACCACAGCAAGGCACAGACAAGGACUCAGUUAUCUGAGGCUGACCUCAGGCACAAGAUAAGUUGUGAGAGAUAUUUCUGGGCAGGAAAACAGACAUGGGUUUAGUCUUGUUAAACAAACACCCUGUUGUCUUGCCAGUGUUGAACUGGGUGCAGAAAAAAUCCACUUCCCACACGAAGCUGAUCUGACAUACAAAGGAACAGCUCUGGUUCUCAUCAUUCCAGAAUAGCACAAAUCCUGCCACCUGUGAUAAAAUAAGAAAGAAAUUUCACUUCAGUUAAUUUCUCUUCUGUCCUGUAAAAGCUAGUUAUGAGCCUCCUUCCUAUGAAAUGUGGUUUCAUAAGAGGCUUUCAUACAUUACUUUGAUUCUACUCUGAGUUUUUGUGUAAAAAGAUAAGGACAGCACAACCCUUCUUUCCUGCCUGCAUGCUGGCAUUAUUACCAAACAGGUCAUAAACAGGUCACCAACAAGGGGAGUGCUGGCAGGGCAGGCUGAGCUGCUUUCACUCCUGUUCAAUAGAGGAAGAGGUUUGGAACAUGAUACACUAAUUGGUUCCAGAGCCAUCUUUGCUCUUGGGUGGAUGGGAUGCUAGAACAAUGGGACAAGGAGUAAUUCCUUCAGUUUCAAACUUUUAAAAAUUCUAUAGCAUUCUCCAAUACAAAAAUAAAAUCUCAUGACCCUCCCCAAACUGCAACUCCAGAAAAAAUAUUUAUCUAGGUCCUUUUCCAACAUUGUAUAUUCAUUUCCAUUUGUCUUGUAACUUUUUACUGCAAUUAAACAAACAAGACUGUGCUUCAAAACAAAAAA